GACUCAUUAGCUCAGUCGGUAGAGCACCUGACUUUUAAUCAGGGUGUCCCGAGUUCAAGUCUCGGAUGGGUCACCA
rnacentral:tRNA from 3 species